UCUGGUUGAUCCUGCCAGUAGUGAUAUGCUUGUUUCAAAGAUUAAGCCAUGCAUGUCUAAGUAUAAGCGAACUUAUACAGUGAAACUGCGGAUGGCUCAUUAAAACAGUUUGAAUUUAUUUGAUGAAUGUAUGAGAAUACUACUUGGAUAACCGUAGUAAUUCUAGAGCUAAUACAUGCAACGACGCCCGACCGUUUCACUACGGAAGGGCUGUAUUUAUUGGAUACCAAAACCAUCCUUCCCUCGGGAAGUUUUGUUUGAUGAUUCACAAUAACUGAUCGGAUCGCCACUGUGGUGGCGACAGGUCAUUCAACAUUCUGCCCUAUCAGCUUUCGAUGGUUGUGUAGUGGACAACCAUGGCCAUAACGGGUAACGGAGAAUCAGGGUUCGAUUCCGGAGAAGGAGCUUGAGAAUUGGCUACUACAUCUAAGGAAGGCAGCAGGCGCGCAAAUUACCCAAUCCCGAUUCGGGGAGGUAGUGACAAAAAAUAACAAUACCGGGCCUUUUUGGGCUUGGUAAUUGGAAUGAGGGAGAGUUAAACGGACCAUCGAGUAUCCAUUGGAGGGCAAGUCUGGUGCCAGCAGCUGCGGUAAUACCAGCUCCAAUAGCGUAUAUUAAAGUUGUUGCAGUUAAAAAGCUCGUAGUUGGACUUGUGUGCGCUGUCCGCGGGUGGCCUGCGCCCAAAAAGGGCGUUUCGGUUCGGCCCCGGUGGCGCCUUGAAAUCUGCAGCUGGGGGGACGUUGGCCUUAACUGGUCGGCGACCGCACGCCGGCUGCUCGGUUACUGUGAGAAAAUUAGAGUGUUCAAGGCAGGCAUUGGGUGCAAUUGAAUACAUUAGCAUGGAAUAAUAAAAUAUGGCUCCUGCCGUAUUUUGUUGGUUUUGACUGGUGGGAGUAAUGAUUGAUAGGGACGGUUGGGGGUGCUAGUAUUGAGCGGCCAGAGGUGAAAUUCAUGGAUUCGCUCAAGACUAACUUAUGCGAAAGCAUUCACCAAGGACGUCCUCUUUAAUCAAGAACGAAAGUUGGGGGAUCGAAGACGAUCAGAUACCGUCGUAGUCUCAACCAUAAACUAUGUCGACUUGGGAUCGGCGGUAGUUUUUUCAUUAAGACACUGUCGGGACCACGGGAGAAAUCAAAGUGUCUGGACUCUGGGGGAAGUAUGGUCGCAAGGCUGAAACUUGAAGGAAUUGACGGAAGGGCACCACCAGGAGUGGAGCCUGCGGCUUAAUUUGACCCAACACGGGGAAACUUACCAGGUCCAGAGAUGUAGAGGAUUGACAGAUUGAAGCUCUUUCUUGAUCACUUCGGUGGUGGUGCAUGGCCGUUCUUAGUUGGUGGAGUGAUUUGUCUGGUUAAUUCCGUUAACGAACAAGACCUC
rnacentral:rRNA from 1 species